GUGGGAGAGGCUUAGUGGUUUGGCGUGAGAUUGCAACGUGUCUUCAGACGAAGAGCGGCGCCUAGAAAAAUCUUGAGGUCGUGGGUUCGAUUCCCACCUUCCACU
rfam:Pseudozyma antarctica DNA, scaffold: scaffold_v10003, strain JCM 10317, whole genome shotgun sequence.